rnacentral:rRNA from 1 species
UGGGGAAUAUUGCACAAUGGGCGAAAGCCUGAUGCAGCAACGCCGCGUGAGGGACGACGGCCUUCGGGUUGUAAACCUCUUUUAGCAAGGAAGAAGCGAAAGUGACGGUACUUGCAGAAAAAGCGCCGGCUAACUACGUGCCAGCAGCCGCGGUAAUACGUAGGGCGCAAGCGUUAUCCGGAAUUAUUGGGCGUAAAGAGCUCGUAGGCGGUUUGUCGCGUCUGCUGUGAAAACCCGAGGCUCAACCUCGGGCCUGCAGUGGGUACGGGCAGACUAGAGUGCGGUAGGGGAGAUUGGAACUCCUGGUGUAGCGGUGGAAUGCGCAGAUAUCAGGAAGAACACCGAUGGCGAAGGCAGAUCUCUGGGCCGUAACUGACGCUGAGGAGCGAAAGGGUGGGGAGCAAACAGGCUUAGAUACCCUGGUAGUCCACCCCAUAAACGUUGGGAACUAGUUGUGGGGUCCAUUCCACGGAUUCCGUGACGCAGCUAACGCAUUAAGUUCCCCGCCUGGGGAGUACGGCCGCAAGGCUAAAACUUGAAAUGAAUUGACGGGGUCAUAGCUGUUUCCU